CGUACAUUCUAAGAAAUUUAAAAGAAACCUACCCAUAUCUGUAGACGUGUGGCUUCCUACCUAAGGGCCAUUGUUAUUUCCCAUCUUCUCCUACAGCUAGAGGGGACGAUGUGACCUAGCUCUGAUCAGUGGAUUUUAAGUAGAAGCCACAUGGACAACUUAUAGUUCAGUUCAUAUCCUGUAAGUGCUGGGCUCCCACAUCCUCCCUUUUCUUUUCCCCUUCCUGCAGGCUGGAACAUGGAGGUAAUGAUGAUAAAGGUUUAUCUCUAGAGACAAGGACUGUGCAUAGUGGCAGAUGGAACAACAAAACAGAAUUUGCCUCCCUGGAUGACCCCUUAAAGCAGAAGUGCCCGGUUAGUCCUGUGCUUUAAUGGGAGAGAUGUGAGAAUUGAGACCAUCUCUGUCAAUAUGCUCAGACAAUACCUACAGACUGCUGGUUCAGCAUCAUUUAUUUAUUUGACCCAGGAAAAGAUAGAAAAUCGUCAACAUCAAUACAUUGGAGACAACAGACUGCUUAACAGGGCCACUUGUCAGCAAUAACUGAUGUCUACUAGAUCUGGGAGACUUACCAGUUCUGUGCUGUUUGGGUUCAUGACUGACACCACUGUACUCAACAAGGGUACUUUUAUUAAAAGUUGCCU